CUAUGCUUCAUUUAUCCCGAUCUUCCUCCAACUUCUUAAUUUAACAAGCAACGAACCUUGUCGGAGUCGCUCCAACGACUCUUCAACCAUGGCGUUAACAAAAAAGGUCCAGAGAACUCUGAGAGAAUGAAAGUAAUAGUAAGCUUCUACACUUUCCAUUUCUUCUUCGUUAAACUUUUUCUUCUUCUUCUUCUUCGUCCUACUCCAUCCCUUCUUUCUCUUCUGCGAACUUCUUGUUAUGUCCUUCUUCAGUGUUGUUUCUAUGUUCUUUGUUUGUUGUAUGCUCGAGUAAUAGAGUGAUAGAUCGAGACAAAAGGCGAGAGGUUGAUUUAUAGAAGCUCUACCGGAGCAACUCCGGUGGCUCUUGUUUGGUGAAGAAAGAGACAUUGAUGCAAUUUUAUGAUUGUUGAUGCAAUUGAUUGAAUAUGCGUGAUGCAGUGGUUGUUGUCGUUGUCUCGAGAAGCAAGUUGAUGGAAUAGCAUUGUUGCAAAAGUAGAUCGAAGUUGUUGAAGAAUUGCGAAGAAGUGUGAUGAUGAAGAUUGAAGAGGUUGUGGAUUCGCGUUGAAUGUGCAAAAACUGACGCGUGAAGUUUUGUUCAGAGGUCGAUGAUGAUUGAGGAGAGUGAAGCCGUUCGAAGAGUAUGAUGCAGUUCAGAGAGAACUCAAAAUUUUUGUGAAGUUUCUGUGGUGAUUCUCCGGAUUUUGUGUGAUUCUUCAAGGUGAAGCAUGACGAGGAUGCAUAUGAGAGAAUAAGAGAUUGUUUGGAGUGUUUUUUCUGUGGAAAUGAAGAAUGAAAAAAUUCUGGUUUUAUUAUGGCUGAAGCAUAGAGUCGCAACAGGCCUAUUGCAGAUGAUUGAAACAUGUUGAAUGGUUGUUUUGAUGGCGUGUGAUUUGCUAAUAGCUCAUGAUUACGAAAAAACCUUGGCAU